UGGGGAAUCUUCCGCAAUGGGCGAAAGCCUGACGGAGCAACGCCGCGUGAGUGAAGACGGCCUUCGGGUUGUAAAGCUCUGUUAUUCGGGAAGAAAGAGUCGCUUGUGAACAAUGAGCGAAAGUGACGGUACCGAAAGAGAAAGCCACGGCUAACUACGUGCCAGCCGCCGCGGUAAUACGUAGGUGGCAAGCGUUGUCCGGAAUUAUUGGGCGUAAAGGGCGCGUAGGCGGUCGUGCAAGUCAAUCUUAAAAGUGCGGGGCUUAACCCCGUGAUGGGAUUGAAACUGGGCGAAUGGAGUAUCGGAGAGGAAAGUAGAAUUCCUAGUGUAGCGGUGGAAUGCGUAGAGAUUAGGAAGAAUACCGGUGGCGAAGGCGACUUUCUGGACGAAAACUGACGCUGAGGCGCGAAAGCGUGGGGAGCAAACAGG
rnacentral:rRNA from 1 species